ACGCACGCUGGCGGCAUGCCUAACCCCUGCAAGUCGAACGAGACCUUCGGGUCUAGUGGCGCACGGGUGCGUAACGCGUGGGAAUCUACCCUCAGGUUCGGAAUAACUCAGAGAAAUUUGAGCUAAUACCGGAUGAUGACGUAAGUCCAAAGAUUUAUCGCCUGAGGAUGAGCCCGCGUAGGAUUAGGUAGUUGGUGAGGUAAAGGCUCACCAAGCCGACGAUCCUUAGCUGGUCUGAGAGGAUGAUCAGCCACACUGGGACUGAGACACGGCCCAGACUCCUACGGGAGGCAGCAGUGGGGAAUAUUGGACAAUGGGCGAAAGCCUGAUCCAGCAAUGCCGCGUGAGUGAUGAAGGCCUUAGGGUUGUAAAGCUCUUUUACCCGGGAUGAUAAUGACAGUACCGGGAGAAUAAGCUCCGGCUAACUCCGUG
rnacentral:rRNA from 1 species